AGCAGAGCAGAAGCUUGCUACAUCAUCUUUUAUCAGAAGAGGAUUCAUGAUCCAUUUCAAGGUUGCUCUGGACAGAGCGAGCUUUAAUCCUCCUUGAUAAUCUUGUUGAGAAAGGUACCCCUGGAGAUGACCACUUCCAGCCUUCCAGUUAUCUUUUCUCCAUAGCUAAACUGG